rnacentral:rRNA from 1 species
GAUGAACGCUAGCGGCAGGCUUAAUACAUGCAAGUCGAGGGGCAGCACAGUAUAGCAAUAUAUGGGUGGCGACCGGCAAACGGGUGCGUAACACGUACGCAACUUACCCUUUACUGGGAGAUAGCCCAGGGAAACUUGGAUUAAUAUCCCAUAUUGCAGAGAAUCGGCAUCGGUUUUCUGCCAAAGUUCCGACGGUAAAGGAUGGGCGUGCGGUUGAUUAGGUAGUUGGCGGGGUAACGGCCCACCAAGCCUACGAUCAAUAGCUGAUGUGAGAGCAUGAUCAGCCACACGGGCACUGAGACACGGGCCCGACUCCUACGGGAGGCUG